GCUCUUGGCGGGACCAACAUCUGUCUUCGUAGAGUGGAAGCCCCUACGAUCUACAGCUUGAUCAAAAGGCACGGGGUCACUCACAUGUGUGGCGCACCUGUGGUGCUAAACAUGCUAACAAACUCUCCCAACGCGGAACGCCUACAAAACCCAGUGCAAAUUUUAACCGGGGGAGCUCCACCUCCAUCCGCCGUGCUGUUCCGGGCAGAGUCACUUGGUUUUGUGGUGAGUCAUGGAUACGGUUUAACUGAAACAGCAGGGCUGGUCACUUCGUGUGCGUGGAAACCAAAGUGGAAUACAUUUCCAGCAAGUGAGAGAGCAAUACUAAAGUCAAGACAAGGAGUUCCGAUUGUUGGCUUCACCGAGAUGGGCGUUGUGGAUCCCAAUACAGGAAAGAGUGUGGAAAGAGAUGGGGUAUCACUUGGUGAAGUUGUUUUGAGAGGUGGGAGUGUAAUGUUAGGUUACUUUAAAGAUCCAUUAGGCACGUCGAUGUGCAUGAAAGAUGGUUGGUUUUACACGGGCGACGUGGGUGUUGUGCACUCAGAUGGAUAUUUAGAGGUCAAAGAUAGGUCCAAAGACGUGAUCAUUAGUGGUGGAGAGAAUAUUAGCAGCGUAGAGAUCGAGUCUGUGUUGUAUACACAUCCUGCUGUUAACGAGGCAGCUGUGGUGGCUAGGCCUGAUGAGUUUUGGGGCGAGACACCGUGCGCGUUUGUGAGUUUGAAAAAUGGUUUGCCUCACAAACCUGGUGAGAAAGAUAUAAUUGAUUAUUGCAGGGAAAAGAUGGCGCAUUAUAUGGUACCAAAAAUCGUGGUGUUCAAAGAUGAGCUUCCAAAGACAUCAACUGGGAAGAUUCAGAAGUAUUUGCUCAGAGAAUAUGCCAAGGUCGUGGAUUCUUCGAAGGUAAAAAUGGCAACCGGACAGGUCGGGAGUGGUUUUUAUCUGCCUCUACGUUCUCCUCGAUGGCUUCAAACACCCUUUAUUCCCGCUCCCAUCUCCACCUCCAUUUGCGUUCCCAUUCCCCGUUGUCGUCCCGUCUCUCUGUACAACUUCAGUCAAAGCACAUUUUUAGCCAAAACAAGAGGUUCUGAAAUAUUCAGUAUCUUUCAAAAGAACCAAGGAACAGUGCUCCAUCAGCCACAUCGUUUGGGCAACACUCAUGCUCGAUUCCUCUGAGCUUCAAGAAUAAUUCUUGAAACUUAAGAGGAAGUUGGCGCAACGGCCUUCCCAUCUGCUCCAAAUUGGUACUGUCCUAUAAAUUGCGCUAUGUCUUUUGUGUGAAAUCCUACAUUUUCCUCCGACGGACUUGUCAGUUAUUCCAUACCGAAACAGCUAUCAUGUCUCUUUCAAUCACCACGUACGACACGAUCUAGAGAUGGUAACGCUGUAUGUAAUAGCCUUUGUCCACACACGAUCAAGAACAGUUUCGUAUUUGUCUUCGACUAGCUUAAGUUCUUAAUUGGUCCAAGUUAAUCCUGUUGAUCUUCACCAUUCUCUUGCAACAUAAAUUGUCAUUUGAAAUUAAUAAAUUUGGUCAAGUUUUUAGCGUCUACGUUAAUUAAAGCAGAAGUCAUGCGCAUGACUUUGCAUUAAACCAAAAUAUUGAAUUGAUUGUGGGUAACACCUGCUCCAAUAAAUACAAAGUUAGCUAGUGGUCUGAAGAUCGAGCACCCUAUAAAUCUAAAUGAAGGUUAAAAGAACCAAGUAUACUUAUUUGGCCGUCAAACCAAAACAAUCAAUUUUUCAAAGUUUGAACUCGGAUUGAGUAGACACAGUUGAAUUUUGCAUUUACUGAAAGCAACAAUGUACAAUUAUCUUUGGCUCAAGUAGUUAUCAAACCCUUGAUAAAUGUUAAGAACUUGGAACAAGUUGGAAGAAAGCGAGAAAAUGACACUUUCAUAUUAAUUAAAAGAAGCUAAAUGGACAAGUUGGAAGAAAGCGAGAAAAUGAUACUUUCAUAUUAAUUAAAAGAAGAAUACCGUAGCUCAAGACUCAAAAACAUUGUUCACAAUUUUAUCUUUUCAUCUACAAAAUUUAACACCAGAUACUAAAAGCAUUGAUAACUUUUCACUUGGUAUAUUUGUUAUUAUUAAAUUGAUUAAAAAUAAAUAAAUUUUUUUUCAUUUUAAUUAUACGGUGAAACAAUCAAAAUAUCAUUGGAAAUAAAAAAAAAAUUAAAAUUGGUAUCAAUGGGUAUUUUUGUGUUUCCACAAUGAUUUUUUUGUUAUUAUAAUGUCAGAUGAGGAUCAAUUUGAUAUUUGAUCAAAUAUAUAAAAAAAAUAAUAAAAAAUUUAAAAGCAUAAUGAAAUGUGAAAAUUUCCCUUAAAAGAAAAAAAAAUUAAAAUUGGAAUCAAGGGGCUUUUUUUUCUUUUUACAAUGAUUUAUUUUUGUUAUUAUUAAGUCAUCUUAGGGGUAAUUUGAUAUUUAACUAUACAUAAAAAAAACAAAAAAGGUGAGGCGCGUGAAGCUCACUCUCUAACGUGUGAGAGGCGCUCCUCCACGUCUAAAAAUGAUGUUCUGUUGUGUUAUUGUAAGUGUCACCACAUCCUUUUCCUGGUAGAAUGACACGUGUUGAUGGUGAUGGUUUGAUUUGUCGCUAGUUGAUUCUUUUUUAUGUUUCUCCUCCCUAAAAAAUUAUAAUUUGGUCUUCUUUGUUGUAGGUUUUUCAACUUUCGUUCUUAUUUUUUUUAUUCAAAUUUUUACUUUUGACAGUUUUAUAGAAGUUUUGUUUAUUUUCAAUUUCAUCCUUCCAUCCCAAUUUGCUCUAUAUUUAUUUUUUAAUUUGAUCCUCAUUCUUUUGAUUAAAUUUUUAGGCCUUUUAUUGAAUUAAUUUUUAUAUUCACCCUUCCAUAUACAAUUUUUUAUUUCAAUUUUGAUCCUCAUUCUUUUAAUUUUCUUAGUCCUUUUAUUCAAAAUGUUUUUUCAAUUUCACACUUCAAUCAAAAAUAAAAUUUAUUUUGUAUGUCAAUUUGACCCUCAUUCUUUUAACUAUCAUUUUUUUUUAUUUUGAAUUCUUUUGUGUAAUUGAUAUUCUUUUUCUAAGUUAAUCUUUCAACAUUUAAUUGGUUGGGAAUUGAGUUUCAUGUUUUUUUUCUAGAUAGGGUAUUUCCAAUCUAAUGCCCAGGGUUAAGGGUUUGAAAAGUUAUAAUUAUCUUUAUUUUUUUAUCAAGUUAUUCUAAUCUCAUGUUAACUCGGGUAAAUAAAAACCAAAUUUUUUUAUGUCCUAUAUUUAUCUUAAUUUAUUCUUCUAUAUUUAAUGAGUUGUAAAUUGAGAUACAUUAUUUUUUCUUUUUUCUAAGAAUAUAUUUUUACCAUGGUAUCUUAAUCACUUUUUUUUUUUUAAUUUGAUCCAUGCACUAUUGUUUUCUUUUAUAUAUAUAAUUGCUAGCAAUUACUAAAAAUAAUUAUUGAAUUAUAUCCUCUAAUAAUUGUUGUUGAUUAUGCUAAUUCUGCUGUUCUGCUAUUGCGUCUCUUCCUGUUAUUUUAUCCUUGUUACCAUUUUUAUUAAUUGUGAAACUUAGUGCUCUCGGCCAUUCAAGAAAUAUGGCUCUAAUACAAAUUGUAAUGGUUCUGGAUCGUUGUUUUAAAAUGAGAAUUAACUAAUCAAAAAAAGAAUUGUUGAAGUGUCUUUUUUGGAAUCUAAAUUAAAAAACUGAAAUAAUUGAAAUAGAAAAUUGAAGAACAGGAUUGUAAGUGGACAAUUGAGGUAAUAAAUGUUAACUAAAUUUCUAACAGAUUCAAGGUGACCCGAGCCUCCUUAGAUGAAUGUGAUUUCCUUCAAAGUAAUUUCUUGCAUCUCCUGCUCAUCCUCCCCUUCUAUUUAUUAACUAAAUCUUAGAAUUUGAAUUUGAAAUUCAAGAAGAAAACUGCCUGGGUAGAGUCUUGUGUUGAUUUGUAUGUUGAUGACUUUUCUUAUAUAAAUGACAUCAUAGUUGGAAACAAAAUGUCCUUGUCACGUGUCAACUAGUGAUCGGAGAGCCUCUUCCAGCCUACCACGUAAGUUUCCCGAUACAUCGCAACCAUACACGUGCUAAUCUCCUUAAUUUCUUGCAGGUUCUCUUGUGUCCCUGUUACUUCUUCAUUUCAAAGCAACCACCACCGGGCCCCUGCUCGACCACUACACGAAUCGGGUAAGUUAUAAUUUUCCAUCGUUGAAUGCAAUGCCAUACCACUUGACUUAAAUUGUCGACGGUUUGCAAUAAUAUCCCCUAGCCCUGAGCUAACCUUCUAUUUAGUGACCCUGAGCUAACCUUCUAUUUAGUGACUGUUAUUUAUCUAGCAUUCUAACAAACUACUAGCUAGCCAAGACCAAGAUGGAAGAACUAAAGCCAAUGCCACCAAGCUCAUGCCCCUUUACACCCAUAGGCUUCCUGGAAAGAGCUGCCACUGUUUAUGGUGAUUGCCCAUCCAUCAUCUACAACAACACCACUUACACCUGGUCUCAAACCUACCGUCGAUGUCUCAAGGUUGCAUCUUCGCUAUCAUCCAAUGUCAUCAAGCCAGGUCAAGUGGUUUCCGUUGUGGCCCCUAACGUUCCUGCCAUGUAUGAGCUUCAAUUUGCCGUGCCCAUGUCUGGUGCCAUCCUCAACAACAUCAACACCCGUCUUGACGCUCGGACCAUUUCCAUACUCCUGCGUCACAGUGAGUCAAAGCUCGUCUUCGUUGAUUAUUUGUCGCUUCGUGUUAUUCUUGAAGCCCUCUCUUUGUUUCCACCUGAGACUCCAUGCCCUGCCCUCGUCCUCAUUACGGAUGAUGAGGAAGAAGUACCGCCACCACCAUCACUUUCCGAAGACUUUUGUACUUACGAAAGCAUGGUGGAGAAAGGAGAUCCUGAGUUCAAGUGGGUCCAGCCACAAAGUGAGUGGGACCCGGUGGUUUUAAACUACACAUCUGGUACUACCUCAGCUCCUAAAGGUGUGGUACAAUCCCACAGAGGAACUUUCACCAUAACCAUUGGAUCCUUGAUUGAUUGGAGCCUACCAAAACAAGCAGUGUAUCUGUGGACCCUGCCGAUAUUUCACGCCAAUGGGUGGAGUUAUCCAUGGGGUAUGGCAGCUGUUGGCGGGACCAACAUCUGUCUUCGUAGAGUGGAAGCCCCUACGAUCUACAGCUUGAUCAAAAGGCACGGGGUCACUCACAUGUGUGGCGCACCUGUGGUGCUAAACAUGCUAACAAACUCUCCCAACGCGGAACGCCUACAAAACCCAGUGCAAAUUUUAACCGCGGGAGCUCCACCUCCAUCCGCCGUGCUGUUCCGGGCAGAGUCACUUGGUUUUGUGGUGAGUCAUGGAUACGGUUUAACUGAAACAGCAGGGCUGGUCACUUCGUGUGCGUGGAAACCAAAGUGGAAUACAUUUCCAGCAAGUGAGAGAGCAAUACUAAAGUCAAGACAAGGAGUUCCGAUUGUUGGCUUCACCGAGAUGGGCGUUGUGGAUCCCAAUACAGGAAAGAGUGUGGAAAGAGAUGGGGUAUCACUUGGUGAAGUUGUUUUGAGAGGUGGGAGCGUAAUGUUAGGUUACUUUAAAGAUCCAUUAGGCACGUCGAUGUGCAUGAAAGAUGGUUGGUUUUACACGGGCGACGUGGGUGUUGUGCACUCAGAUGGAUAUUUAGAGGUCAAAGAUAGGUCCAAAGACGUGAUCAUUAGUGGUGGAGAGAAUAUUAGCAGCGUAGAGAUCGAGUCUGUGUUGUAUACACAUCCUGCUGUUAACGAGGCAGCUGUGGUGGCUAGGCCUGAUGAGUUUUGGGGCGAGACACCGUGCGCGUUUGUGAGUUUGAAAAAUGGUUUGCCUCACAAACCUGGUGAGAAAGAUAUAAUUGAUUAUUGCAGGGAAAAGAUGGCGCAUUAUAUGGUACCAAAAAUCGUGGUGUUCAAAGAUGAGCUUCCAAAGACAUCAACUGGGAAGAUUCAGAAGUAUUUGCUCAGAGAAUAUGCCAAGGUCGUGGAUUCUUCGAAGGUAAAAAUGGCAACCGGACAGGUCGGGAGUGGUUUUUAUCUGCCUCUACGUUCUCCUCGAUGGCUUCAAACACCCUUUAUUCCCACUCCCAUCUCCACCUCCAUUUGCGUUCCCAUUCCCCGUUGUCGUCCCGUCUCUCUGUACAACUUCAGUCAAAGCAUAUUUUUUGCCAAAAAAAGAGGUUCUGAAAUAUUCAGUAUCUUUCAAAAGAACCAAGGAACAGUGCUCCAUCAGCCACAUCGUUUGGGCAACACUCAUGCUCGAUUCCUCUGAGCUUCAAGAAUAAUUCUUGAAACCUAAGAGGAAGUUGGCGCAACUGCCUUCCCAUCUGCUCCAAAUUGGUACUGUCCUAUAAAUUGCGAUAUGUCUUUUGUGUGAAAUCCUACAUUUUCCUCCGAUGGACUUGUCAGUUAUUCCAUACCGAAACAGCUAUCAUGUCUCUUUCAAUCACCACGUACGACACGAUCAAGAUAUGGUAACGCGCGCAGUAUGUAAUAGCCUUUGUCCAAAUAGCGAGGAAAAGUACAGUUUCUUAAUUGGUACAAGUUAAUCCUGUUCAUCUUCACCAUUCUCUUGAACAUAAAUUGUCAUUUUCAAAUUAAUAAAUUUGGUCAAGUAUUUAUUGUCUACGUUAACUAAAGCAGAAGGCAUGCAUGACUUUGCAUUAAACCAAAAUAUUCAAAUGAUUGUAGCUAGCAUCUGGUCCAAAAUAUACAAAGUUAGCUAGUGGUCUGAAGAUCAAGCACCCUAUAAAUUUAAGUGAGGGAACAAAAAACACUCUUUUGAUCUCUAAAUUGAUCUCUAUCUUCUUGAAGAAUAUUAAGUUAUCGAUCUCUAUCGCUAAAUUCAAUAUUAAAGAAUAUUUUCAAUUUAGAAGGUUAAAAGUAUACUAAUGUGGCCAUCAAACCAAAAAAAUCAAUUUUUCAAAGUUUGAACUCGGAUUGAGUAGAUUAUGUUGCUACUCACACUUCACACUUUAGUAGGUCCAAUAACACAGUUAUAUAUAUAUAUAUAUAUCAUUUUCUAGCUUUCUUCCAACUUGUCCCAAGUUCUUAAUAUUUAUCAAAGGUUUGAUAACUACUUAAGCGAAAGAUAAUUGUGUAUUGUUGGUUUCAGUAACCGUAAAAUUUAAUAUAUAUAUAUAUAUAUACAUUAAAAUAUAUAACAUUAAAAUAUGUUAUAUAUUUUAAUGUGUGUGUGUAUAUAUAUAUAUAUACACAAUUAUAUAUAUAUAUAUAUAUAUAUAUAUAUAUAUAUAUAUAUAUAUAUUAAAUUUUGCGGUUACUGAAAGCAUAUAUAUAUCUAUAUUAAAUUUUGCGGUUACUGAAAGCAACAAUGCACAAUUAUCUUUGGCUUUUAUAUAUAUAUAUAUUAAAUUUUACGGUUACUGAAAGCAAUAAUGCACAAUUAUCUUUGGCUUAAGUAGUUAUCAAACCUUUGAUAAAUGUUAAGAACUUGGGACAAGUUGGAAGAAAGCCAGAAAAUGAUACUUUUAUUUUCCCACCUAAAAAACUUAAUAUGGAUAUCAAAGGUAUUAAUAUCUUUUUACAUGCUCUAUUUGUCAUAAUAAAUUGCCCAGAACAAAUAAAUUUUUCUUUAUCUUAAUUGCACUGUAAAACAACCAAAAUAUCAUUGAAAACAAAAAAUUUAAAACUUGCAUCAAUGAACAAUUUUAUGUUUCCACAAUGGUUUUUUCGUUAUUGCAGUGUUAAGUGGGGAGCAAUUUAGCAUUUGAUCAAAAAUAAAAAAUAAUUAAAAAUUAAAAAGCAUAAUGAAAUGAGGAAAUUUCUCUUAAAAUAAAAAAAUUUAAAAUUGGAGUGCAAUGGCUUUUUGUUCAAUUUACAAUGAUUUUAAAAUAAAUAAUUAAAAAUAUGUUAUUAUAAGCAUCACCACGUUCUUUUCCUGGUAGAAUGGCACGUGUCGAUAGUGGUGGUUCAAUUUGUCGCUAGUGGAUCUUUUUCUUUUUUUUAUUUUAUUUUAUCUCUCUUCUCUAAAAAAUUAUAAUUUGGUCUACUUUGUUAUAGGUUUUUCAACUUUAGUCCUUAUUGUUUUUUAUUCUAAUUUUUAUUCUUGGCUCUUUUAUAGAAGUUUUGUUUAUAUUCAAUUUCAUCCUUCCAUCCCAAUUUGCUAUAUAUUAUUUUUUUUUAAUUUGGUCCUCAUUUUUUAUUAUACUUUUUAGGCCUUUUAUUGAAUUAAUUUUUAUAUGUAAUUUCACCCUUCAAUCUAUAAUUUUUUAUUUCAAUUUUGAUCCUCAUUCUUUUGAUUUUUUUAGUCCUUUUAUCCAAUUAAUUUUUUUUUUCAAUUUCACCCUUCAAUCAAAAAUAAAAUUUAUUUUCUAUGUCAAUUUUGAUUCUUAUUCUUUUAACUAUCAUUUUUUUAAUCAUUUUGUGUAAUUGAUAUUCUUUUUUCAAAUUAAUCUGUCAACAUUUAAUACAUUUAAUUGGUUGAAAAUUGAGUUUCAUGUCUUUUUCCUAGAUAGGGUAUUUUCAAUCUAAUGCCAGGGUCAAGGGUUUAGGGUUUGAAAAGUUAUAAUUCUUUUUAUUUUUUAUCAAGUUAUUCCAAUCUCAUGAUUUGAAUUGCAGGUUUAACAGAAUAUCUCGUGUUGACCCAACCCUAAUUACUGAGGUUACAUGUUUGUCAUGCUAACUCUGGUUAAUAAGAACCAAUUUUUUUAUGUCCUUUAUCUACCCCAUUUUGUUCUUCUAUAUUUAAUAAGUUGUAAAUUGAGAUACAUCAUUUAUUUCUUUUUCUAAAAAUAUAUUUCUCUCAUGGUAUUCUAAUCACUUUUCUUUUUGAAUUUGAUCCAUAUACUGUUGUUUCCUAUUUUGUUUUAUAUCUAAUUGAAAUAAAAUCAACUUAUUUGAUUCUAAUUAAUUAGAGCUAUGACCGAAGUCGUAUAUUUUUUUUUGGUUUUAAAACAUGAUUGUGGCUUCUAAACACCAAUUUUUGUACAAAAAAUAAUAAUUUGGCCCUAUGGUAGUGCGGGCACAAGGGCUAAUAAUAAUCUAAAUUGCUUCUUGCUAUCUUACUAAAUAUAAGCCGACUUUGACACAAAAUUAAAGUAAACUUAAACAAGAAAAAUCCCUUAGUACCAAUAAUUGUCUCAAAUAACUGCUGAAAUAAAGAACAUAAGAAAGAUAAAUGGUAGUUAUUUAUAACAAGUGGUAAAAAAUAUUAAAAAGUAUUUAAGAUAUAUAUUAAUAAAAAUUAUUAUUAUUAUUGUUAUUUGCAAUAUAUUCAAUGUAAAAAAUUAUUAGAAAACACCGUUGACAUAUCAUGGUUGGCAAUGAAUGGUUUAAUCUGCACUACUUCAGAUUUUCUAGCCAGAAAAAAUAUUAUAAACCUAGACCAGGUUUCAUAUCCCUAGUGUAAUAAAUAGCCAGAAUUCAUGGAUCAUAUUCUUGUACACUGCUAUGAAUCUUGGAAAUUAUGGAACCGAUUCAUUAAUUGGCUAGGACUAAUUACAUGGUGCAUGCCGAGGACUGUAGAACAAACCUUAUAAUUGUGGCAUUUUCUGGGUAAAGGAAAAUUUCAGAGGAAGGCUAUCUAUAUGUUAUCUACCGGCAUCUUGUGGGGUAUUUGGCUAACUCGUAGCAAAUUGAUUGGACUACAAUCUUGAUUACUACAAAGUGUUCUUAAGAAUAUAGAAAGUAGAAAUAAAAAUAAUAAACAAAUUAUUUGCCUUUUUAAGUGGCCUGUCUUCUUCAAGUACUCAAUUCGAUUUCAAAGCACAAGAAGCCCUUGAAACCAAACCUUCAUAUUUGUGUGUCUCUCUAAGUAACUCUGCUGCUGUAAAUAUAUUUUUUACAAACCAUUCUAGUAGUAGAAUUUGAACAACUUUAAACCUGUCUCUUAAGAAAGUUUUUGUAUCAAAUAAAAUAUUUUACAGAAAAAUAUUAUUAGUAUAGGGAUUGGAGUUGACUAGUUGCUUUGUGAACCCCCGGCUAGCAUAUUUUUGGGUUAGUAAUAUAUGAAAAAUUUAACCAGAUAAUAAAAUGGGUUGAAUAAAAAAAACACUUAAUUAAGAUAAAAAGAGUGAAAUUAAUGAAAUGAAGAGUGAACAUAGUACUAAAUUGUGAGGAAAAACAAAUUUGUGGGGACAAAAUAUAAUAAGUAAGGCUAAUAGGGGCCAAUGUAUAAAUACAAAAAGGAGAGGGUCAAGGUGCAAUUAACAAGAGGAUGACACUAUAAAUAAACUUCAAUUCUCUUUCAUGCCAUGAUCUUGCAAGAACAAAAGAAGGGUUAGGGUUCUUUGAUUUCUUCCUUUUUUUCUUGAUAAAAUCCUCAACGAAAGACUAACUUGUGGUGAUUAAAAGAGUUAGUAAGUGAUCAUAAAGAGGUAUUUGAGUGAUUUAGGGAGUUCUAGAAACUUAAGAGUGAGAACAAGGGUUGGUGAGAGAAGGAAGAAAGAGAAGGAUAAAGGGUUGAUUUCCAUCUUAAAUCUCUUUUGAAUCCUUGUUAUUUCAAGUUAAACAUGGCUUUUAUUGUGUUUGAUUUGGAUAAUUCCAUGAAUGAGAGCUUGAAUGAUGUUAUGUAUGAUUAUGGAAUUUAAAUUUGAGAAAUUUGUUGAUUUAAUUUGGAAUAUUAUAUUAGAAUCUUAUUUAUAAACAUGAAUAAAGAUCAGGUAAGUAAGAAAUUAUUUCCAUGGUCGUGCAUUCGGCUAGAGAGAGAUAGAAGAGAUAAAUUUUCCAGAACAAAACAGUCUUGCCAUUUUGAGAAACAAUUAGAACAAUUUAAGAAACAAUAAAAUCAUUUCUUAAAAUGAUUAGACCGUUUUGGUCUAAUUUUGUGUUUUAGUAUUUUCUUAGUUUUUUUGGUUCUUUUGAGCUUGUUUAAUGGAGAUGAGAAUUGUUUGAUGUAAUUUAGUAUAAUAUGUAUGUUUAAUGAUGAUGACUGAAACAUUUGAUGUGGGGUUGAGGAUCAAAUUGCAAAAAAGAAGAAGAAAGAAAUGGACAUUUAUAUGGUGAUAAUUUAGAAUUUUCAAUUCGAUUAAAUUAAGAACUUAAAAUAUAUAUGGAGAAUGAAAUUGAUUUUUAUGGUGAUCAAUGAAAAAUGAGAUAUUGAUUCUACAUGCACUCAAACAUUAGGUGGCUGCUCGGCACCUUACAACUAAAAUAUUAGUUAAAUUGAACUACAAUAUUAGUUAAAUUGUAAUUGCAAUUUUCUUUAAUCUUAUCUUAAUUUUUAUUUGGAAAAUGUUAAACAAUUAGAAAAAUUAAUUUCCUAGUUAAUAGGAUUAGUGUCCUAGUUAAUAAGAGAUAGGAGAAACUAAUUUUCUUGUUAAUGGGAUUAGUGCCAUAAUUAAUGAAAAAUUGGAGAAAUUAAUUUUAUAAUUAAUAAGAUUAGUGCCCUGGAUAAUGAGAGAUAAAAGAAACUAAUUUCCUAGAUAAUAAGAUUAAUGCCCUAGUUAAUAGGGAAUUGAAGAGACUCAUUCCCCGGCUAAUAGGAUCAGUGCUUAAUUAAUGAAUAAUUGAAGAAAAAUAAUUCUUUUGUUAAUAGGAUUAAUAUCUUGGAUAACAGUCAAUUGGAAAAAAAAAUUGUUGAACCAUAUCCUUUAAUAAUUGUUGUUGAUUCUGUUGAUUAUCACUUGCUGUUGUUUCAUCCAAGUUACUGUCUUUAUCAAUUAUAAAACUUUAGUGUCCUCGGCCAUUCAAGAAAUAUGGCUCCGAUACAAAUUGUAAUGCGUCUAGAUCGUUGUUUUAAAAUGAGAAUUAACUAAUUAAAAAAAAAAGAAUUGUUGGAUUGUAUUUUUUGGAAUCUAAAUUAAAAAACUGAAAUAACUGAAAUAGAAAAUUGAAGAACAGAAUUGUAAGAGGACAAUUUGAGGUAAUAAAUCCUAACUAAAUUUCUGGGCAGAUACGAAGUAACUCCGGCCUCGUUAGAUGAAUGUGAUUUACUUCAAAGCAAUUUACUGCCUAUACUUCUCAUCCUCGCCUUCUAUUUAUUAACUAAAUCUUAGAAUUUGAAUUUCAAAUUCAAGAAGAAAACUCCCUGGGUAAAAUCCUGCGUUGAUUUGUAUGUUGACCACUUCUGUUGCAUAAAUGACGUCGUUGCUGGAAACAAAAUAUCCUUGCAACAUGUCAUCCAGUGAUGGAAGAGCCUCUUCCGGCCUUUCACGUAAGUCUCCCAAUACAUCCUAACCAUACACGUGCUAAUCUCCUUAAUUUCUUGCAGGUUCUCUGUCUCCGUAUUACUUUCUUCUUCAUGUCAAGUGAUAAUCUCCUUAAUUUCUUGCAGGUUCUCUUGUCUCCCUGUUACUUCUCCUUCAUUUCAGAGCAACCACCACCGGGCCCCUGCUGGACCACUACACGAAUCCGGUAGGUUAUAAUUUUCCAUCGUUGAAUGCAAUGCCAUACCACUUGCCUUAAAUUGUCGACGGUUUGCAAUAAUAUCCCUUGUCCUCUAUUAGUUACAGCCAUCCCCUAGCCCUGAGCUAACCUUCUAUUUAGUGACUAGUAUUUAUCUAGCAUUCUAACAAACUACUAGCUAGCCAAGACCAAGAUGGAAGAACUAAAGCCAAUGCCACCAAGCUCAUGCCCCUUUACACCCAUAGGCUUCCUGGAAAGAGCUGCCACUGUUUAUGGUGAUUGCCCAUCCAUCAUCUACAACAACACCACUUACACCUGGUCUCAAACCUACCGUCGAUGUCUCAAGGUUGCAUCUUCGCUAUCAUCCAAUGGCAUCAAGCCAGGUCAAGUGGUUUCCGUUGUGGCCCCUAACGUUCCUGCCAUGUAUGAGCUUCAAUUUGCCGUGCCCAUGUCUGGUGCCAUCCUCAACAACAUCAACACCCGUCUUGACGCUCGGACCAUUUCCAUACUCCUGCGUCACAGUGAGUCAAAGCUCGUCUUCGUUGAUUAUUUGUCGCUUCGUGUUAUUCUUGAAGCCCUCUCUUUGUUUCCACCUGAGACUCCAUGCCCUGCCCUCGUCCUCAUUACGGACGAGGAGGAAGAAGCACCGCCACCACCAUCACUAGCCGUAGACUUUUGUACUUACGAAAGCAUGGUGGAGAAAGGAGAUCCUGAGUUCAAGUGGGUCCAGCCACAAAGUGAGUGGGACCCGGUGGUUUUAAACUACACAUCAGGUACUACCUCAGCUCCUAAAGGUGUGGUACAAUCCCACAGAGGAACUUUCACCAUAACCAUUGGAUCCUUGAUUGAUUGGAGCCUUCCAAAACAAGCAGUGUAUCUGUGGACCCUGCCGAUAUUUCACGCCAAUGGGUGGAGUUAUCCAUGGGGUAUGGCAGCUGUUGGCGGGGCCAACAUCUGUCUUCGUAGAGUGGAAGCCCCUACGAUCUACAGCUUGAUCAAAAGGCACGGGGUCACUCACAUGUGUGGCGCACCUGUGGUGCUAAACAUGCUAACAAACUCUCCCAACGCGGAACGCCUACAAAACCCAGUGCAAAUUUUAACCGGGGGAGCUCCACCUCCAUCCGCCGUGCUGUUCCGGGCAGAAUCACUUGGUUUUGUGGUGAGUCAUGGAUACGGUUUAACUGAAACGGCAGGGCUGUUCACUUCGUGUGCGUGGAAACCAAAGUGGAAUACAUUUCCAGCAAGUGAGAGAGCUAGACUAAAGUCAAGACAAGGGGUUCCGUUUGUUGGCUUCACCGAGAUGGGCGUUGUGGAUCCCAAUACAGGAAAGAGUGUGGAAAGAGAUGGGGUAUCACUUGGUGAAGUUGUUUUGAGAGGUGGGAGCGUAAUGUUAGGUUACUUUAAAGAUCCAUUAGGCACGUCGAUGUGCAUGAAAGAUGGUUGGUUUUACACGGGAGAUGUGGGUGUUCUGCACUCAGAUGGAUAUUUAGAGGUCAAAGAUAGGUCCAAAGACGUGAUCAUUAGCGGUGGAGAGAAUAUUAGCAGCGUAGAGAUCGAGUCUGUGUUGUAUACACAUCCUGCUGUUAACGAGGCAGCUGUGGUGGCUAGGCCUGAUGAGUUCUGGGGCGAGACACCGUGCGCGUUUGUGAGUUUGAAACAUGGUUUGCCUCACAAACCUGGUGAGAAAGAUAUAAUUGAUUAUUGCAGGGAAAAGAUGGCGCAUUAUAUGGUACCAAAAAUCGUGGUGUUCAAAGAUGAGCUUCCAAAGACAUCAACUGGGAAGAUUCAGAAGUAUUUGCUCAGAGAAUAUGCCAAGGUCGUGGAUUCUUCGAAGGUAAAAAUGGCAACCGGACAGGUCGGGAGUGGUUUUUAUCUGCCUCUAACUUCUCCUAGAUGGCUUCAAACACCCUUUAUUCCCACCCCAUACCCCGUCAAGGCCGUAAACAUCCUUAUCCCCACUCCCAUCUCCACCUCCAUUUGCGUUCCCAUUCCCCGUUGUCGUCCCGUCUCUCUGUACAACUUCAGUCAAAGCACAUAUUUUGCCAGAAAAAGAGGUUCUGAAAUCAGUAUCUUUCAAAAGAGCAAAGGAACAGUGCUCCAUCCGCCACAUCGUUUGUGCAACACUCAUGCUCGAUUCCUCUGAGCUUCAUGAAUAAUUCUUGAAACUUAAGAGGAAGUUGGCGCAAGGGCCUUCCCAUCUGCCCCAAAUUGGUGUCCUAUUAAUGGCGAUAUGUUUUGUGUGUGAAAUUGUACAUUUUCCUCCGAUGGACUUGUCAGUUGUUUCAAUCACCACGUACGACACGAUCAAGAGAAAGUAACGCAGUAUGUAAUAGCCUUUGUCCAAAUAUCGAGGAAAAGAACAGUUUCGUAAUUGUCUUCGACUAGCUUAAGUUCUUAAUUGGUACAGGUUAAUCCUGUUGAUCUUCACCAUUCUCUUGCAACAUAAAUUGUC
rnacentral:lncRNA from 1 species